rfam:Erinaceus europaeus unplaced genomic scaffold scaffold00111, whole genome shotgun sequence
GUGCUGGCUUUGGCAGCAUAAAUACUAACACUGGAGCAAUACAGUAAAGAUUAACAUGGCUCUGACUCAAGGGUGACACAAAGUAUUGUGAAAUGUUUCAUUUUAGG